AAUGAACGCUGGCGGCAUGCCUUACACAUGCAAGUCGAACGGCAGCAUGACCUAGCUUGCUAGGUUGAUGGCGAGUGGCGAACGGGUGAGUAAUGCAUCGGAACGUGCCUUUUAGUGGGGGAUAACGUAGCGAAAGUUACGCUAAUACCGCAUAUUCUCUGAGGAGGAAAGCAGGGGACCUUCGGGCCUUGCGCUAGAAGAGCGGCCGAUGUCGGAUUAGCUAGUUGGUGAGGUAAAGGCUCACCAAGGCAACGAUCCGUAGCGGGUCUGAGAGGAUGAUCCGCCACACUGGGACUGAGACAAGGCCCAGACUCCUACGGGAGGUAGCAGUGGGGAAUUUUGGACAAUGGGCGCAAGCCUGAUCCAGCCAUGCCGCGUGAGUGAAGAAGGCCUUCGGGUUGUAAAGCUCUUUCGGCUGGGAAGAAAUCGCACCCUCUAAUACAGGGUGUGGAUGACGGUACCAGCAUAAGAAGCACCGGCUAACUACGUG
rnacentral:rRNA from 1 species